rnacentral:rRNA from 1 species
UCGGGAAUUUUGGGCAAUGGGCGAAAGCCUGACCCAGCAACGCCGCGUGAAGGAUGAAGUAUUUCGGUAUGUAAACUUCGUAAGAAUAGGAAGAAUAAAUGACGGUACUAUUUGUAAGGUCCGGCUAACUACGUGCCAGCAGCCGCGGUAAUACGGAGGGUGCGAGCGUUAAUCGGAAUUACUGGGCGUAAAGGGCGCGUAGGCGGCAAUUCAAGUCAUCUGUGAAAUCUCCGGGCUUAACUCGGAACGGUCAGAUGAUACUGCUUUGCUAGAGUGCAGAAGGGGCAAUCGGAAUUCUUGGUGUAGCGGUGAAAUGCGUAGAUAUCAAGAGGAACACCUGAGGUGAAGACGGGUUGCUGGGCUGACACUGACGCUGAGGCGCGAAAGCCAGGGGAGCAAACGGGAUUAGAUACCCCCGUAGUCCCUGAGCGGGCUGGCAAGGCGCAU